CUGCCAUCGUUGCAUCGCCGCUCAGAACAACCAUAUGACCCUUUUCUGGCGCCGCUUGCGCCCCCGCUACCGCGUGCGCUUCUGCGUCAUUCCAGCGAGCAGCAACAAGCUCUUCGCUUCUUGUGCCCCAACGCGCGCAUCCUCCUGCUACUCGUUGCCUUCCCUCUUCUCUCGCCACGAACGCGCCACAUAUGACUGUGAAGGCGCGCCCUGGACAACACGCGCGCAAGUCCCUUAUUACCACAUUCGACUGAUCCCACCCCAUUCCGAUCCCUCUCUCACGCCAUUAGGAGGUGUGCCAGACUGGAGUAUCCUGUAUGCGACUGUGGUCUCUUGAUGGUGCAGAGGGGGGCCCCUCUUCUACCGGACCCCGAUGGGCUGAUCGCGGAUGGUUUCAAUCAUGAUGCUGCUGCAUGAGGGUGUGCGGGUGCCGGAGGAGUGCAUCCGUCCCCUCGAGGCAGCUGUCAGCCGAUUCAUGGCCAGCCGCCCGCGCCCGCUGCCGGGAGACGAUGCGGAUGGGGCAGUGGGACGAGUGGCGGCGGGUCUGGGAGGAUAUGGAUGACGCCGUCUCUGAGGAGCCCCAUCGCGGACCGACACACCCACGGAGGAGGAUCCGCGGCCGCUCUUCCGUCUCCCCUCCUCCGUGCUCGACCUGUGGAAUGCACGCAAGGCGUCGCUGCAGGGCAGACAUAGCGUGUGCCGGCUCAUUCUGCUAGUGGCAUCGACGGCCGAGCGGACGGACGCAGCGCAGGCAGCGGCGCAAGCAACCACGUCGCCUUCGGCUGCGAACGGCCCUCAGCUCCAAUCCGUCGACGCCGUGCUCCCCGGCGUCACGGGGAUGCCAGCGCCGCCCAGCGAUCUCUGGCCCGGAGAGCCCACUUUGGGCCUGGCAGGGAGGGGCUGCCGCCCCCAGGCGCCAUUUGCUGCAGGGCGACGUGGUGUGGGCCUCUGCUGAGCACUCAAAACUUGCCCAAAUUGUCAGAAUCAGCGCGUACACCGCAGGCUCGUACACGAUGCAGACAGUCGUUAUCGUCGUCUUGGCGAUCUACGGCGUCGCAUUCAACGGGCGCGACAUGACGCCACGAAAGACCCGUGACACUGCGCUGGCCUUGAAGAAGGCCUUCGACUGCUUCCUCACUCCAGCGUGGCUCUCGCACGGGCUCACUCUCUGCAGCGCGAUCUCCCGGGACGAGCGGACGAUAGGCCCCGUUGCCUUGAUGUGUUUAACCGCGAGCAGGAGCACGAGACGGGACAAAGAGAGCACGCACUCGCAGAACAGGAGGAGGACGAGGUGCCACGACGAGCACGCGAUGGGGGCACGGCCCAGCCGACCGUGUAGGUUUCUUUCCUUUUUGUUUUCUUGUCUGCUGGAGCUGCGGCUCCCCUUCCUUUGGAUAGCGCCUCUGCCACCGCUGCUGUUCUCAGGGGCGAUCGGCACACCCUC
rnacentral:misc_RNA from 1 species